rnacentral:rRNA from 1 species
AGAGUUUGAUCAUGGCUCAGAACGAACGCUGGCGGCGUGGAUAAGACAUGCAAGUCGAGCGAUCGUUAACGGGUAGCAAUAUUCGUUAGCGGGAGCGGCGCAAGGGUGCGUAACACGUGGGUAAUCUGCCGUGAAGUUUGGGAUAAUCCCGCGAAAGCGGGACUAAUACCGGAUGUGACCAUUGGGAGGCAUCUUCUGAUGGUUAAAGUUGGGGACCGCAAGCCUGACGCUUCAUGAUGAACCCGCGGCCUAUCAGCUAGUUGGUGAGGUAACGGCUCACCAAGGCUAAGACGGGUAGCUGGUCUGAGAGGACGACCAGCCACACUGGAACUGAGACACGGUCCAGACACCUACGGGUGGCAGCAGUCGAGAAUUUUUCACAAUGGGCGCAAGCCUGAUGGAGCGACGCCGCGUGGGGGAUGAAUGGCUUCGGCCCGUAAACCCCUGUCAUUUGCGAUCAAACCUUAUUAUUUAAAAGAUGAUGAGUUGAUAGUAGCGAAAGAGGAAGGGACGGCUAACUCUGUGCCAGCAGCCGCGGUAAUACAGAGGUCCCAAGCGUUGUUCGGAUUCACUGGGCGUAAAGGGUGCGUAGGUGGUGGGGUAAGUCGGAUGUGAAAGCUCGGAGCUCAACUCCGAAAUGGCAUUGGAAACUACCCUGCUAGAGGAUUGGAGGGGGGACUGGAAUACUUGGUGUAGCAGUGAAAUGCGUAGAUAUCAAGUGGAACACCAGUGGCGAAGGCGAGUCCCUGGACAAUACCUGACACUGAGGCACGAAAGCUAGGGGAGCAAACAGGAUUAGAUACCCUAGUAGUCC